GCCGGAGGGUACUGCUUUCGGAGUUUGAUUAAGUCAUGCAAGUCAGAGAGUAAUCUCGGCGAACGGCUCAGUAACACGUAGGUAACCUACCCUAAAGCCUGGAAUAACCUCGGGAAACUGAGGAUAAUACCGGAUAGGGUAAAGCAACUGGAAUGUGCUUUACCCCAAAGAUUUAUCACUUUAGGAUGGGCCUGCGGCUGAUUAGGUUGUUGGUGAGGUAAUGGCUCACCAAGCCAGUGAUCAGUAUGGGCAAUGGAAGUUGUAGCCCAGAGAAGGGGACUGAGACAAGGCCCCUAGCCCUACGGGGUGCAGCAGACGCGAAACCUUUACAAUGCACGAAAGUGUGAUAAGGAAACUCCGAGUGCUUUUGCGAAAGUAAGAGCUUUUGUUAAGUGUAGAUAGCUUGACGAAUAAGGACUGGGGUAGACCCGUGCCAGCCGCCGCGGUAAUACGGGCAGUCCAAGUGGUGCCCACGAAUAUUGGGCUUAAAGCGUUCGUAGCUGGUCUUGAAAGUCUCUGGUGAAAGCCCGCGGCUUAACCGAUGGGAAGUGCUAGAGAUACUUCAAGACUUGGAGACGGGAGAGGUCAGAGGUACUUUUGGGGUAGCGGUAGAAUGUGUUAAUCCUGAAAGGACCACCGGUAGCGAAGGCGUCUGACUAGAACGUGCUCGACAGUGAGGAACGAAGGCCAGGGGAGCAACCCGGAUUAGAUACCCGGUUAGUCCUGGCAGUAAAUGAUGCAAACUAGGUGUCAAGUAACCCACGUGGUUACAUGGUGCCGAAGGGAAACCGUUAAGUUUGCCGCCUGGGGAGUACGGUCGCAAGACUGAAACUUAAAGGAAUUGGCGGGAGAGCACCACAAGGGGUGGAGGCUGCGGUUUAAUUGGAUUCAACGCCGG
rnacentral:rRNA from 1 species